UAUUGCACAAUGGGGGGAACCCUGAUGCAGCGACGCCGCGUGGGUGAAGGAGCGUUUCGGCGCGUAAAGCCCUAUCGGCAGGGAAGAAGGAGGACGGUACCUGAGUAAGAAGCCCCGGCUAACUACGUUCCAGCAGCCGCGGUAAUACGUAGGGGGCAAGCGUUAUCCGGAUUUACUGGGUGUAAAGGGAGCGUAGACGGUUGUAUAAGUCUGGAGUGAAAGCCCGGGGCCCAACCCCGGGACUGCUUUGGAAGCUGUGUAACUUGAGUACAGGAGGGGCAGGCGGAAUUCCUGGUGUAGCGGUGAAAUGCGUAGAUAUCAGGAGGAACACCGGCGGCGAAGGCGGCCUGCUGGACUGAAACUGACGUUGAGGCUCGAAAGCGUGGGGAGCAAACAGG
rnacentral:rRNA from 1 species